UACGGAGGGUGCAAGCGUUGUUCGGAAUUAUUGGGCGUAAAGCGCGUGUAGGCGGCUUUGCAAGUCGGGUGUGAAAGCCCUCAGCUCAACUGAGGAAGUGCGCCCGAAACUGCAGAGCUUGAGUACCGGAGAGGAUGGUGGAAUUCCCCAAGUAGAGGUGAAAUUCGUAGAUAUGGGGAGGAACACCGGUGGCGAAGGCGACCAUCUGGACGGAUACUGACGCUGAGACGCGAAAGCGUGGGUAGCAAACAGG
rnacentral:rRNA from 1 species